AAACAACAUGCGUCAAAAGCAUGUGAUUCCAACGAUGCGGUAUUACGUAUAUUUUACAGAGACCAAUCCAAAGGCGGGGGUGUGUGAAAGGGCGUGGCUUGAAUGUGGCACUCUGGAAAAUUCGUUGGAUUACCAAAGGAAACGUCUUGAAAUAAAUGAUCCCGCACUGCAAUGCCAUGAAUAACUACGGCAUCAGUCUUGUGUCGCACUUUGUCGUCCAGAAUGUCCACAGACGCUCUACGGAUGAGAUGCGCCAUAGUAAACCAAAGGUGACACUGUGGGCAGCCAAAAUGACAGAGAAUACAUGCUUUGAUCAGACAGAUCCCUUAACAUCUAGCUGCUGGCAGAGAGAGAAGCGUGUUGGAGAGAACGCUGAUUCUUUUACUGAUUGUCUCCUUCCCAGCCCACCCUGUGCUGCAAGGAUCCUGAGAAAAUCAGAUAAAUCUUCUCACAUCACACCUAUCCUUGCUGACCUUCACUGGCAUCACUCAAAGAAUAGACUGUACAAUGAUCCUUUUACUAUAAAGCUAUCAAUGGCUUGGGACCUGUGUACUGAUCUGACCUGCUCUCCCCUACGAACCUCCACGCCCUCUACGCUGUAG
rnacentral:lncRNA from 1 species